UACAGAGGUCUCAAGCGUUGUUCGGAUUCAUUGGGCGUUAAAGGGGUGCGUAGGCGGCGCGGUAAGUCGGGUGUGAAAUCUUGGAGCUUAACUCCGAAACUGCAUUCGAUACUGCCGUGCUUGAGGACUGGAGAGGAGACUGGAAUUUACGGUGUAGCGGUGAAAUGCGUAGAUAUCGUAAGGAAGACCAGUGGCGAAGGCGGGUCUCUGGACAGUUCCUGACGCUGAGGCACGAAGGCCAGGGGAGCAAACGGG
rnacentral:rRNA from 1 species